rnacentral:rRNA from 1 species
GAUCAUGGCUCAGGAUGAACGCUAGCUACAGGCUUAACACAUGCAAGUCGAGGGGAAACGGGGAAGCAGCUUGCUGCUUUUUGUCGUCGACCGGCGCACGGGUGAGUAACGCGUAUCCAACCUUCCCAUAACAAAGGGAUACUCCGUAGAAAUGCGGUCUAAUACCUUAUGUUCUCUUUAUUAGGCAUCUUUUAUAGAGCAAAGAAUUUCGGUUAUGGAUGGGGAUGCGUCUGAUUAGCUUGUUGGG